rnacentral:rRNA from 1 species
UAGAGUUUGAUCCUGGCUCAGAACGAACGCUGGCGGCGCCGCCUAAUACAUGCAAGUCGAGCGAGAAGACGUAGCAAUACGUUUGUAAAGCGGCGAACGGGUGAGGAAUACAUGGGUAACCUACCCUCGAGAUGGGGAAUAACUAGCCGAAAGGUUAGCUAAUACCGCAUACGACUCUUGGUCUGCGGAUCGAGAGGGAAAGCGAUACCGUGGGUAUCGCGCUCCUGGAUGGGCUCAUGUCCUAUCAGCUUGUUGGUGAGGUAAUGGCUCACCAAGGCUUCGACGGGUAGCUGGUCUGAGAGGACGAUCAGCCACACUGGCACUGCGACACGGGCCAGACUCCUACGGGAGGCAGCAGUAAGGAAUAUUGCGCAAUGGGCGACAGCCUGACGCAGCGACGCCGCGUGGGGGAUGAAGGUCUUCGGAUUGUAAACCCCUUUCGGCAGGGAAGAUGGAACGGGCAACCGUUCGGACGGUACCUGCAGAAGCAGCCACGGCUAACUUCGUGCCAGCAGCCGCGGUAAUACGAAGGUGGCAAGCGUUGUUCGGAUUUACUGGGCGUACAGGGAGCGUAGGCGGUUGGGUAAGCCCUCCGUGAAAUCUCCGGGCCUAACCCGGAAAGUGCGGAGGGGACUGCUCGGCUAGAGGAUGGGAGAGGAGCGCGGAAUUCCCGGUGUAGCGGUGAAAUGCGUAGAGAUCGGGAGGAAGACCGGUGGCGAAGGCGGCGCUCUGGAACAUUUCUGACGCUGAGGCUCGAAAGCGUGGGGAGCAAACAGGAUUAGAUACCCUGGUAGUCCACGCCUUAAACGAUGGAUACUAAGUGUCGGCGGGUUACCGCCGGUGCCGCAGC